CAGCACUAGACUCCCUACCACCUCUCCUGGACUGCCUCUCCUCCCCAGACUCCACAAGUCCACACCCUCUCCUGCACCGCAGCCACGGAAGGUGCCCCUAACCUCAUCUGGGUGCCAGAGCGAAUAGUGCAUCAUGCCCAUGGACCUGGGAAAACAGCUCAUCCUGCCAUUCAAGAAGCUGAAAAUCACAGCUCCCGUGAUGAUGCCAGCUCAUCCACCAACCCCGAAGAAGGAGAAAAGCAGAAUGCAGGUGACCAAGGCCACCCAAGAAGAUAAUAUCCCCACUUGGGGUCAACUGAAGAAGCUGACCACUGAUGCUCAGCAACUGGUGAAAGAACAGGAGGUUCAGUCAGCAGCAAGCUCCUGUAAUCUCAAGUCCAAAGGCUCCAACUAGAUGUCCAUAAGCUACUUUUAAAAAUAAAGAAGGAGGAGAUGUAGAGAGAAGCUGGGAAGGCACAUGAGCAUUUCUUUAAUUAUUUUCAGCUGAGUCCAGUGGCAUUGGCAGAGCCACAUCCUGGAGACAUACUGUGCCAGAGGCAGACGUAUCAGCCUCUGUAAGCAGUGACCAGUACGAAUGGAGAGCAGCAGCCUUCAACCCAGCAACAUCCAGGGCGCUAAUGGCAACCGUUGAGGUCUCCUGCCUGAUAGAGGAGGACUCCACUUCGCUCCGAGAGACAAGCCCCUGACUGCUCUGCUGUGUGAGCCUGAACCAACUGCUCCGUCUUCUUCGUCAUCCAUCCUUCAGUGUGCAUCACCAGGUGGCCUUUCCUGGAGCCUAGGACCCAGUAG